GCGUGCGUCGUUUUGCGCGAGUCGAUUUGCAUAGCUUACAUAGCCCGUGUUUAAUAGUAAAGCUAAUCGAUUAGCGAAGUAGAUUGGUCGGAAUGGGGCAACAACGAUGUUUAGUGAUUUUAAUUUGUCUCGUUUUGGGAAAUUUCGUCAUAUUCCACGAUCGGGAGCGAAUAGUUUUAGCGAAAGAGGUGAAUUGCGUCGCUGAUUGUGAGGAACACCAUAAACAAGGGGUAAAUGACCGAUUUAUUGAGAAAGAUUUUCUGAGCAAUAAUAAAGGAAGAGACAACACGUGAGAUGGUUUCCUCUACCAUGCACUAAUCGUAUGGAAUUAGUGGAAAGUGAUGAUGAGAUUGAUUAUGUAACACCCACCUAAAGAUACUGGAACAACAAAUGAGGAUAGCGAUGAAGAUGUGGAGCUCUGCUCAUUGGAUUGACUGCAGACGACUGAAUUCUUUAAGCCAAAAUGUUUAAAGGAAUUGUUUUAACCUUAGGUUCGUUUAUAUAUCGGUUAGUUAAGUAAAUUAUUAGGCCAUUGGUGUAAAAUAUCUCACAACCCUAUAAACCUUAUAAAUGCAACCACUCCCGUGUUUUUAUUAUUUGACAUAAUGUUUUUAUACAAAUAUAAACGAUAUUACUAUGCUAAGAUAUGCUAAAAGAUCAUCUAUUUAUUGUUAAAAAUUAAUCUGAACCGU